rnacentral:rRNA from 1 species
GAUGAACGCUGGCGGCGUGCUUAACACAUGCAAGUCGAACGAAGCAUUUAGAACAGAUUAUUUCGGUAUGAAGUUCUUUAUGACUGAGUGGCGGACGGGUGAGUAACGCGUGGGUAACCUGCCUUGCACUGGGGGAUAGCAGCUGGAAACGGCUGGUAAUACCGCAUAAGCGCACAAUGUUGCAUGACAUGGUGUGAAAGACUCCGGUGGUAUAAGAUGGACCCGCGUCUGAUUAGCUAGUUGGUGAGAUAACAGCCCACCAAGGCGACGAUCAGUAGCCGACCUGAGAUGGUGACCGGCCACAUUGGGACUGAGACACGGCCCAGACUCCUACGGGAGGCAGCAGUGGGGAAUAUUGCACAAUGGAGGAAACUCUGAUGCAGCGACGCCGCGUGAGUGAAGAAGUAAUUCGUUAUGUAAAGCUCUAUCAGCAGGGAAGAUAGUGACGGUACCUGACUAAGAAGCUCCGGCUAAAUACGUGCCAGCCGCCGCGGUAA